AUUCUAAACGGAACGCAAGUCUGGAGUCAGACAGUCAGCUGUUAACGUGUGGAGGGAUUUCUGGUGGAGGAGAGCAAAAUGGACGUGACAAGUUCUUUCACACCCUUUUACAACACAACUGUAAAUUCAACUUCUUCAACUGCAACAGCAAGCACACCUGUCCAGACAGAUUGUUCUUAUGGUAUAAACUCUGGGUUGUUGGAGUAGCUGCAGGGAUACCCAGCUUCCUGGCAUUGGUCCUUGCAGUCAUCUUGGCAGUGGUCUGUGUUCUUCAGUGGUCAAACUUCAGAUGGAAACAGACGAGUGAAUGUGGCGAAGUGCAGGAAGAACAUGAAUAUGAAAAAUCUCCUCCCAGACCUCCAAAUGAUAUAUACCUGAAUGUGAUGGAGGAGACAACAAAUAUCUAUGUAAAUGAAGAUCAAGGAAAACACUUUGGAACAGGCAUCCAAACACAAGCAAAGGCCCCACGGAUGAAGAAGGCCAGAAGAGAGCCCACUGUGAUGGAAUCUGUUUAUGAAAAUCACCCUCCCUCUUACUGAAAGAAAAGUACCAAGGGAUGGCUGGGACCAGAAUUAACAGACACGGUCGACUUCCCAGACCCCAGGGGUCCCAUGGCUGCAUUUCAAGAACAUAAGAGUUUUAUACUUGUGUGUUUUUGAAGUUCCAGAGGACAGGACAGAGAGCCAUUGUGAGGGGAAAGAACCUUUUGAGGUUAUGCUUCUGAGAGGCUCGGAGAUGCUGUCCUCAUUAGGAGAGUACGAAAACUCUCUGGGAGAGGUGGCUUUGCUGUCCUCUUAUGUUUAACUUACUCCAUUUUAAUAAAGAACAUGUAUGUCCUGGUAGUGAUACAGCU
rnacentral:lncRNA from 7 species